rnacentral:lncRNA from 1 species
UUGAACCACUCUAGAAACGACGUUGGACAGAUCGGUCGCUGUCUCUGCCGCUGCGAUCUCUCGAACAAAAGUCUAUUAAAGCUUUACUUCAGACUUUUUCAACACUGCUUCAUUUAUAGGACUUUUAAACAGCCUCUCCGGAGAUGAUCGGGAAAUACAACAUGUUGUUAGCGCUCUUCAUCAUCCAGCUGAAGCUGGCCUUGGCCGGAUUUUCUUGCCAUUCUUCAUUAAAUGAAAACGGCUCUGGUAGUAAUACUGUCACUGGUGACCAAGAAUGUAAUGAUUUCUCCUUCAAGGAUGAUCAUAGCAACGUGUUGAAGAUUGGCCAAGGACAGGCUGUCUUUGAAUUCCCCAAUUGUGUCCCAAAGAUCACGUUUUUCUGCAACAUGGUGAGAACUGCCAGCUAUCAUUUACAUUCAGAAGAGUGUUUACGUUGGUUUUUGAUGUGUGUAUGUUAAAAUAAGGGUGUGACUUGCUUGUUUGGAGUGAAAAAUGUUCAGAUGAUGUUUUAUAUUUAGUUUUAUAUACCAAACCAAACUCUUAUUUUACCUCAGAAAGAAACACAUUGAUUAACUAUUUACAGUACCACGAUUUUUUUGUAAUUGUUUCUAUAGUCUCUAGUGUAAUAAUAAUAAUAAUAAUAAUAAUAAUAAUAAUAAUAAUAAUAAAAGGGCUCUGGUCCAUUUGCA